ACACUGAUGGUGAAACGGUAUCAUGCUUGCCUUCCAUCAUACCGUAUAGCAAGCGGCGCGGGUUCGACUCCCGCUCAGUGUA